GCUUUAUCUUACAGAACGUUCCCUGCCUCUGUCCACACCCUCCUCCCUCAAAGUACUGGCAGAAUCAAAGGGAAAAUUAUAUAUGAAGGGAAAGAAUAAUGAAUACAUAUUAGUACAAAACAAAAGAGAUUUGCAAGGAGAGUAGAGAAUCAAGGAAAUUAAGAGCUGUCUGGGAUACACAGCGCAAACCGUGGCAACUGCUAAUCCACUGUAUCAAGAAGAGCUCUUAAAAGGACAGAGGAUACUUUCUGCUGUUUGAAGUGUGAUCUGUGUGCAGUCUUGGGAGUUGUUCUGGCAAAACUGUCAAAGGGUAUGCAUUCACAAGCUCUAAAACCUUUGUAAAAUUACAAAAAAAUGUAUUUUUUUAAAGUUAAAACUCACCCAUGUCUUCCCACAACUAUCCUGUCCCCCCCAAGAUGUACAGUACUCUGUUAGUAACCACUGUCAGUUGUCACCAAGACCUCCCAAGCCACCUUUCAGCAGUGUUAUUUGGGGCUUGGGAGAGUUUUCCUAGGGGUUUCUUUCCUCUCUUUUCCUUUUCCUGAGCUCUUGGCUGAGCCCUAAGGUUACCACAGAAGGCUUGGAAUCUGCAGCUGUCACAAUAACUUUUGCAUUGUCUGCAAAUAUCCAUCUCCUUCAUAUCCUUCCACUCAGCCAACUGCCUGCCAUGUGCACUUUAUUGUUAUGGCCAGUGCUUAAGAAAGAUAAACAUGUGUCCUCUGCUCAAAGUAGGUGCUUGGUGAAGAGUGUACGAAGCUUAAAGAUGUCUGUUGGAAGAGACGCUCCUCUUGCAACAUCAGAUGUUAAGUUUUACUGGCUAUCUUGCUUGAAAAGGGAUGUCUUAUGAUCAUCAC
rnacentral:lncRNA from 1 species